CCUACGGGAGGCAGCAGUAGGGAAUCUUCCGCAAUGGACGAAAGCCUGACGGAGCAACGCCGCGUGAACGAAGAAGGCCUUCGGGUCGUAAAGUUCUGUUGUUAGGGAAGAACAAGUACCAGAGUAACUGCUGGUACCUUGACGGUACCUAACCAGAAAGCCACGGCUAACUACGUGCCAGCAGCCGCGGUAAUACGUAGGUGGCAAGCGUUGUCCGGAAUUAUUGGGCGUAAAGCGCGCGCAGGUGGUUCCUUAAGUCUGAUGUGAAAGCCCACGGCUCAGCCGUGGAGGGUCAUUGGAAACUGGGGAACUUGAGUGCAGAAGAGGAAAGUGGAAUUCCAAGUGUAGCGGUGAAAUGCGUAGAGAUUUGGAGGAACACCAGUGGCGAAGGCGACUUUCUGGUCUGUAACUGACACUGAGGCGCGAAAGCGUGGGGAGCAAACAGGAUUAGAUACCCUGGUAGUCCACGCCGUAAACGAUGAGUGCUAAGUGUUAGAGGGUUUCCGCCCUUUAGUGCUGCAGCUAACGCAUUAAGCACUCCGCCUGGGGAGUACGGCCGCAAGGCUGAAACUCAAAAGGAUUGACGG
rnacentral:rRNA from 1 species